GCUCACUUCCGCCGGUUUGAGUAGGAUCACUAUUCUAUCGGUCUCUCAGCGCUUUUGUUCUCUCAUUCCCAUCCAGUCAGUGCUGCUGAAGAGAGUGGACCAGCCAGUAGGGAAAGCACACAGACUCAAAGUAGCGGACUCGUCCGUCGCAGAAACGCCCGGUAGCCCCGUGCAAAGCGCCGUCUGCACACAGGAUACGCGGCACUCCAUAGUUGCAUAACUGGACUACUUUUUUUUAAUUAUUAUUGGGGUUUUCUCAUUUUUUAUUUUUUUGUGUUGCACCGAAACUGACUCCCUUCCCAUCUAAACUGAAAAUGGAGAACGACGAAAAAUAUCUCCCCGAGCUGCUGGCGGAGAAGGACAGCCUGGACUCGUCGUUCACGCACGCCAUGAAACUUUUAAACGCAGAAAUUGACAGAAUCCAGAAAGACGAGACUAAAAAGGAGGCGGACCCAUACCUGGACCUUUUCACAACAAAGAACAUCAAACUUAAGGAACGCGUGCUCAUACCUGUCAAACAGUACCCAAAGUUCAAUUUCGUGGGGAAGAUUUUGGGACCUCAGGGCAAUACAAUCAAACGUCUGCAGGAAGAGACCGGAGCCAAGAUCUCUGUGCUGGGCAAAGGAUCCAUGAGAGACAAAUCCAAGGAGGAGGGGCUGAGGAAAGGCGGCGAGCCCAAGUACGCCCACUUGUCCAUGGAGCUGCACGUAUUCAUCGAGGUGUUCGCCCCCGUGCCGGAGGCCUACCUGCGCAUGGCACACGCCAUGGAGGAGGUCAAGAAGUUCCUGUUUCCCGAUAUGAUGGAUGAUAUCUGCCAAGAGCAGUUCCUGGAGAUGGGCUACCUGAACGGAGGCCAGGAGCAUGGGGCCAGGGGCAGAGGGGGCCCUCCGGUCAGGGGCCGCGGACUUCCCCCUGGUGGAGCACACAGGGGUCGGGGCAUGCCCCCUCGCGGAGCCCCCACCAGGGGAGGUGUUGCUCGAGGCUGCCCAACCAGAGGUGGUGCAGUGAGGGGCGUCCCAUCGGGCCGAGGAGGACCCCCAGUAGCCCCUGCCAGGGGAUCCUCGGCACCCCGGGCCAGGCCUCAGGGCGCAGGACCCCCUCAUAGGAUGGCGCAUCCACCCCCCCACCAGCACACCCCUGCUGCCGCUGCUGAGGGCUACGAGGAAUAUGGCUACGAUGAGAGCUACACAGACACGGCCUACGAGUCAUACGACAGCUAUUACAGUCAGCCGCAGGCAGAGCCAGAAUACUACGACUACGGACACGGAGAGACCACAGAGUCGUACGAGUCUUAUGGCCAGGAUGACUGGAACGGGACCCAGCGACUAGCUUCAGGGAAGGCCCCUCCCCCCUCCAGAGGUGCCAAGACGCCUUACCGGGAGCACCCGUACCGACAGUACUGAAGCGGACUCACCACUCUUAACGUGUCGCCCUGACUACCGCCUGUCUCCCACGGCAGCUCUCGCUUUAAGCCGCCCGACAAAAGCACAGCUAUCGGUCACUGAGUGCCCGGAGACUGACAGUCUGCUGAAGUGGGACCGUACGAACCACAGUGAAGCCAUGCACACAGGAGCAGCUCAGCAUGAAGGAGGUGGUCAGACGAAAGCCCUCAGGUGUGGGGGGGGGGGGAGGGGCGGCCUGUUGAAAGGUGCGGCCCCCCCAGUUCUGUCUCUGGCAGGGGGGGUGCUGUUGGUGGCUGGCUGCCGUGUGACCCCCAGGAGCCAGCUGAUGAAGAAGUGCGGGAAGAGGAGCUGGCUCAGACUCCCACGGGAACAGGACGAAGACUGCAGCUGGGAAUCGAGAAGAACCAGAGACGACCUCAUGUUCUAUGUGGACUAUCUUCUACGUCUCAUGUCUUUAUUGAAUGAUUAUGCAUUAACGUCAUGUAAUUAUUGUCUGACAUCGAAGACACUUGAAGCCUUUUGCUGAUUGCAAGCUGCUUCCACAGACCACCCCCUCUUCCAACAAAUGAAAUUGUUACAGCCUUAAUUUACCAUAAAAUGAGCACUCCCGUUAUAGUGUGCUGUGAAAUCGUAUUUAAUUUCUAUUAACUCUUGGAUUAGACAUGAGACAAAGUCUUUUUAUUUUCUGCAAGGCAAGCUGUAUUCUCCCAUUCAGGCAGAAUCACGUGACCUCUGCAUUUCAAGUACUUGAUUAUUUUAACAUUCUGGCUGCGUGUUAUUCAGUAUCUCUGCCUUUUUGCCACGUGAAAUUAGACUCCGCGCCAGAGAGUUACAGACGCCCGGAGAGAGUGGAUCACUAUCUUGCUGCGGCCGAGUUUACUGUGAGCUUCCACACAAACACACGCCGCCACAUCUUGGCAUUGCUCGGCCUGUUGCAGCCCUGAGGAUAUCAAAUGCUAAUGCGGCGGCCUAUUUGCAUGUACUCGCAUGUAGCCUCCCCGCAAAUGUGCAACACUUUCACAACCGACGCUGGCUUGUUCUCAGCGCGGCAGCAUCCACUUAUGAUAAUUGAGCGAGAUGGACUCGGGAAGAGAGCAGCAUGUGAGAAGAGGACAGAGGGUGAAGACAGACAUUACUAACUUCCCUCCAUUUAUCCAUCAUGCCUCUGUUGAUUUGAUUCCCCUCUAUGCCAUUUUCUGCCAUUAUCACUGAUGGUAUUACGGCUGCCUGUGGUGCUGAGUUACAUUUAGAGGUCAAAACUGUACUUUCCUGUAUUAAAAACAAAUUUCUCUGUCCUGAUUCGCUGGUCAGAGACGGCAUUACCCAAGCCAGAGGCUCCAUUUAGUAUAUUGAAAAAGCUAGCGGCUCAGAGGAUGGAACAUUAGAUAUUGGGAUAGAAACCAUCAUUUGAGAUGAAACAACAGGCCAUAUCCAAAACAGAUCAUUUUUCAGUCUUUAUGUGCUAUUAUGUCUAAAAUAAUGAUUUCUGUGUCUCCUAUAAUGUAAUGAAAGAUAAGUAAUGGUGGUGGAAGCCAUCUGCUUUGUUGGAAUCAAUGAACUGUCAAGAGUGCAAGGGUGGAAAAGAAAGUAAAUGUUGCUGUGCCAUGAUCAAUAAAAGUAGACUUGAAUAUGAGCGAG